GAGCAGGCUGGAGUCAUGGAUCAGGGAGAGAUGGAAGAAGAUUUGACAACCAUUCAUGGUCACCGUGACAGCCCUUUAAAUUCUUCAGGAAAUGGACCAGAGCUCUUCUGACUCUACAGUGAUCCUUGAACUAAGUUCCGUCCCUGAAAAGGAGGACAUAAGUGUUCCUGAACUCAAGAGAGCAGAAAGUGUAUUUGUAAGUUCACAUACAAUCCAAUGCACAACUUGGUCUGACAAUAACAGUAGUGGGGGAAAUUGUAUGGUUUUAACCUGUUAAGUCCGACGGACCUGGUACCGGUUCCACAGCACUAAGUGGUCGCAGCUAUUGUAAAUUUGUGCUUGUUUAAAACUCUAGCUUAAUCACAGCCAAAACAUCUUAAACUCUAGACCAAUACUUUUCUUAGCCAUUUUCAGAAAAUAUACAAAUUUGGCUCACUACCACUGAUGGGAUUUGGCCUACUCCUCCGGUACUUAAAUUUGGUAUUUAAUGAUAUGGCAUUUUUCUGUAAUCAAUAGUAUUAAAGGAGAACUCCUGGCAAUUUUUACAAUAAUCUUGCUAUACCUACUGUAUGUGAGUACCGUCGAUAGCAAAAAAAAUGAGCCGAUUCGGUGCUAGCAGCACGGAGCUAAUACAGCUAACACCCAGAGCUCU